AGGAUAAACGCUGGCGGCGUGCCUAAUGCAUGCAAGUCGAACGGGAGCCCUUUCGGGGGUCGACCGUGGCGGACGGGUGAGGAACGCGUAGCUGACCUGCCCCGACCCGGGGGAUAGUCGCCGGAAACGGCGCGCAAUACCCCAUGCCGUCACUCUGAGGGAUCGGGGUGACGAAAGACGUCAGUCGGGUUGGAGGGGCUGCGGCGGAUUAGCUAGAUGGCGGGGUAACGGCCCACCAUGGCGAUGAUCCGUAGCUGGUCUGAGAGGACGAUCAGCCACACGGGGACUGAGACACGGCCCCGACUCCUACGGGAGGCAGCAGCAAGGAAUUUUCCACAAUGGGCGCAAGCCUGAUGGAGCAACGCCGCGUGCGGGAGGACGCCCUUCGGGGUGUAAACCGCUUUUCGGGGGACGAAGACAAUGACGGUACCCCGGAAGAAGGACCGGCUAACUACGUGCCAGCAGCCGC
rnacentral:rRNA from 1 species